GGUGGAAACGACCUUUUCAACGGGGACUCCGCCGACGAUAUAGCCACGCGAAUAAAGGAUUUCAUUGUCGGGCUCAUGAAGUCAACACGGCACGUGCUGGUGUACAAGAUUAUACCGAGAGGUGGGCUUGUCGGGGCAGCCAGAGAGAGAGAAAGGCUUGUGCUAAACCGCCUUCUGGUACAAAAGCUGGCUGCCCUCAACGUCACCAUCUUGACUGUUGAUCACCUGUUUCUCAGCAAGGGCAACCAGGUAAACCUCUGCAAACUUGCUGUGGACCUCUACCAUGUUUGUCGAGUCCGCGGGAUUCAGUGUCUGUCCUUUGUUUUAUGCAAGGCUUUAGAAAAAAUUUUUGGAAACGUCCGUUGUAGGGCUUGUGCACCUUUUAUUGUUUUUAAGGUGCACUGCUGCAGCCGGUGUAAAGCAAAGGGCCACCAGGUGGGUGCCUGUGUCCC